AUGGGUUCAUGUGCGUCCAAGUCAGCUCUUGAGCAUCGUCGGAUGGAGAGGUACUACACAACAAGGAGGGGCAGAAGAGGGCGCGGCAAUCCCCGGUCAGUGAUGCCAGACGGGCCCAAGCCACGAAUUGUGGAUGCAAGAGGGCGCACCACUGACUUCUCAAUGAGCGAGAUAGUCCACGUCGAGUCAGCGCGCAAGUCAGAUCAUUCCAGUACGUUCCACCUCACCCAGAUGGAGUGGCACCACAGUGAGCGAGAUUCCACUGGUUGCUGCAAAGAAGACGCCUGGUUCGACUCUGUUAGCAUCCUUGAGGACGAUUCUGAUGAGGAGGAAUUCAAGAGCAUAGAUGGAGAUUUUUCCGACGAUGAAGAAGAAGAUGAGGAGAAUAACAAGCGAGAGAAGGCAUCACGUUUUGCUGAUACUCUCUCUCGCAUCGUCGAAUUAUGGCAGGGUGUCCCCGUGACAUUAUCAAUUGAGCAAUAUCUAAAAAGAGACGACGGUGGUGAUGAUCCUGCACGUAGGAGCCAAAGCAUGGCAAUAUGUGCCAGCAAGUGCGUGGAAAGUUCCAAGGAGAAAAAUGAUGUAGAGGACAAGAACAACAAGGAUCCUAGCACCCCGUCUCGCAUACAAAAGCUGCUACAUUCCAUUAGUUUCAAUGAAAAGAUGCAACAACUCACCUGUGUCAGCCCAGCAAAGAGGAAGUCUACAGUUAUACGGCUCUCCUACAAGAGGACAUCAUGCGACGAGGACUCCCAAUGUGGUGGUGACAUCGGAGAAUUGAAGAAAUAUGUCAUCCGUCCCAAGGGAGGGAUGACGAUCCCAUCUGGAGGGGAAAAGCCCACACCCGGAAGAUGGUCACAGAUUGAUCCAUCUGUCUUCAAGCUAAGGAGUGAAACAUUCCUCAGAGAUAAGAAGAAAUGUCCAGCUCCGAACUAUGCCGCCUACUACCCAAUAGGCGUUGACUUGUUUGCGAGCCCCAAGAAGGUUUCACACAUUGCCGAACACAUUGAUCUUCCACAGGUCAAACCACACCACAAGCUCCCAUCACUGUUGAUCAUCAACAUCCAGAUGCCUACCUAUCCUGCUGCUAUGUUCCUCGGGGACAGUGAUGGAGAAGGGUUCAGCCUUUGUUUGUACUUCAGACUCUCCGAGUACUUUGAUAAGGAGGUUUCAGAACAUUUUAAGGAAUCCAUCGUGAGAUUUCUUGAGAAUGAAUGUGAGAAGGUGAAAGGGUUUGCAUCAGAAUCUACAAUGGCAUAUAGAGAUCGGUUGAAAAUCAUGGCUGGAUUGGUUAACCCAGAUGAUCUCCAGUUGAGUUCCACAGAGAAAAAGCUUGUCCAAGCAUACAACGAGAAGCCAGUCCUUUCCCGCCCUCAACAUAGUUUUUAUGAGGGUGAGAACUACUUUGAGGUAGAUCUUGAUAUACACCGGUUUAGCUACAUCGCAAGGAGGGGAUUGGAUUCAUUUAGGGAACGCCUGAAGAGUGGCAUCCUUGAUUUGGGCUUGACAAUUCAGGCCCAGAAGCAAGAGGAACUCCCUGAGCAGGUCCUUUGUUGUGUUAGGUUGAACAAGAUAGACUUCAUCAAUCAUGGGCAAGUUCCAACGAUUGUCACACUUGAUGAUAAGUGA
rnacentral:rRNA from 1 species